UACAGAGGUCUCAAGCGUUGUUCGGAUCCAUUGGGCGUAAAGGGUGCGUAGGCGGCGCGGUAAGUCGGGUGUGAAAUCUUGGAGCUUAACUCCGAAACUGCAUUCGAUACUGCCGUGCUUGAGGACUGGAGAGGAGACUGGAAUUUACGGUGUAGCGGUGAAAUGCGUAGAUAUCGUAAGGAAGACCAGUGGCGAAGGCGGGUCUCUGGACAGUUCCUGACGCUGAGGCACGAAGGCCAGGGGAGCAAACGGG
rnacentral:rRNA from 1 species